UUAACUGCGCGUCAUAGUGUGAACUGCAGGACACAUUUGAACAUCGACAUUUCGAACGCACAUUGCGGUCCGUGGAGAAACAUCCAGGACCACUCCUGUCUGAGGGCCG
rnacentral:rRNA from 11 species